UACGUAGGGGGGCUAGCGUUGUUCGGAAUCACUGGGCGUAAAGCGCACGUAGGCGGAUGUGUCAGUCAGGGGGUGAAAUCCCGGGGCUCAACCUCGGAACUGCCUUUGAUACAGCACGUCUCGAGUCCGGAAGAGGUGGGUGGAAUUCCUAGUGUAGAGGUGAAAUUCGUAGAUAUUAGGAAGAACACCGGUGGCGAAGGCGGCCCACUGGUCCGGUACUGACGGCUGAGGUGCGAAAGCGUGGGGAGCAAACAGG
rnacentral:rRNA from 1 species